AAUCAAAAAAUUUAUUUUUUUAUGGAAACAAUGCCACAGUUGGUAAACUGUCUUCUAACAGUAGCUAAUUGCCAGUGAUUCAGAUAUAACUGAACACUAGUUUCCUAGAUCGAUUCGUUUGGACAGGAUAGGAAGUCCAUUGUUUGUGUGUUGGUGAACUCUAGGAAAUUGAGUCCACCAGUGAUGAACUUGGGAUGUCGUCUGAUAGUCUACAUUU
rnacentral:snoRNA from 1 species